UUAAAAUCCGUUGACUUUUUAAAUCGUGAGG
rnacentral:tRNA from 1 species